rnacentral:misc_RNA from 1 species
UUGAGAGGAAGUUGGAUGAGUAUUUUGGGGAUGGGGAUGACCAAUUGGAUGAAAAUUCAAAGUUCUUGAAGGAGUAUUUUAAGAAUAAACUGUGGCGCAGUGAAGAUGCAAAGGUUGGGGAGGAGGAGUUGAACAUGCUGUCAGAGGAUGAGGAAGAGAUUGAAAAACAAGAGGAAUAUGAAUACAGGUUCCAAGAAAAUGUAGGAGAUACCAUUUGGGGGCAUAAUAGAACUGUUGAGGGGUCAGUUAGGAAAAA